rnacentral:lncRNA from 1 species
AUGGCGAAAGCCAGGAAGAAAUCCAAAUAUAUCCGAGAAGAUGACCAGGAAUGGACUAUAGCAUCAUCUGAUGAGAGUCAAGACAGUGAGUAUGACUCUGAGAGAGAGGAGAUGUUCGCUCAGGGACUUGACGACAUCUUAGAUCGGUCACAGUCUGACAGUGACGUGGAUUGGGAGCCUCAAAGUAGGACACUCAGACGCCAAACCCCAUCUCCUGCUGAAGGUGGUCGGCAGAUGCGGCAACGAUCGUCUGCAUCCACCAGUGCUACCUCCCCCGCUGCAUCUUUCACUGCCCCCUCUGGCUCAGGGGAAGCUGCAGCUUCUACACCAACUGCUGGACGUUCCCGUGCUGCCAGACGUGCCCGGGGGAGGGGCAGAAGAGGAGGAUCCUCCAGAGCACAUAGCUCCCACACGGAGGAACAACAGUGGCAUGAUGUGGGGGAUGACGACGUUGAGCCUGCUCAAGUUGCCUUCAUGCCGGUGAGACAGCCCGGACCACAGCAGGAGACCAGAGUGGCAACCAGUCCACUGCAGUUUUUCAGACUGUUUUUCACCGACGCAGUGCUUGGGACUUUGAUGGCAAACACUAAUAUUUUGUUGAUAUUGGCACAGUUAUACAUACAGUAAUAGUGUAUUGAUAGAUAAUACAAUCCUUGUUUGAAAUUCAGUUCAGUAUAGUCUGUCAUUUUUGUAUAAUGGUAACUAUUCUGUAGUGUCUUGUCACAUGACAAUAUCUCAAUAUGGCCACCUAGAAGCGUGUGGAAACCCCUCCAACCACCCAUCAAAUGAAUGUGUGAAUAAAUUAUGUUUUGAAUCAUGGAGAAAGGUUUUAUAGUCACCAGAAUGCUUCAGUAAUGUUUCCAGUGUCACAGAAGUGAGUAAAAGCAUUUGGCACAAUUUGGCCAUUUGGAGACGUUUUGGAGAGGUUCAUGGACGCCAGUGACACCACAAACUAAAACCUCCAUAACUCCCAUAAGGGUAGGCCUAGAAGUCUAAAAUUUCACCCAGGUGUAGUUGACAAGAUGAGGAAGGUAUGUGCUAUAUUGCCAUAUGCCUUACAUAAAGCACAUCCUAGUUAUUGUUAUUCAAAUAUGACCUAUUAUUUUCGAAGACAAAAAAAAUGUUUUAGAGCUAUGUUUGAACUGAUGUCAUUUUGGUUGUGUGUAUGGUACAUGCUAAAUAAACACAUUCACAGAAACUAGAGGUUGUCAGCUUUCAAAUGGCGUAUCAUACAUCCAUCUCGGACUUGUAGUUCUUGUGUUAUCAGCUUUUCCAUUUGGGUAUGCUAAAUAGGUGAAGUUACUGAAAAUAGGUGGGUGCGAACAGGUUAAAGUUAUAAAGCCUUGAUGUUUGACCGCGAGGGGAAAAAAUGGUUUCCAUCGCCCCGCCCAUUAAAGCAUGUCGCAGCUGAAAGAUUUUAAUAACUUUUGUUCUCCAAGGCAUGAAGAAAAUUACUGAGUUAAUGUGAAGACUGUGGUGUUUAAGCUCUAGGACAAGAUAAUUUUCUAAGUCGGCAUGAAUUUGUCAAAAAUUCCGCCACACAUCUAAAUAACUGACUUCCUGUUGUAGUGAGAGUAAGCAUCCAAAUGGGUUUUUUGUGCGUCUGGUCAUGAUGAAGGUGCGUACCGAUUUGCGUCCUUCUAUGUACAAGUAGGAGGCGGGGCAUCACAAUAGGGGGCGCUACAGAGCCCAUACGUCACUGCCACGCCCCAUGACCACACAGAUCUCAUCAGGGCGACUCCCUCUGCAUUCCUGAGAGAUUUGGCCGAGAUAGGAAAUUGUAUGAAGAAGUUAUGAGGACACGAUGCUUUACGGCGAAGGAUUCGAAUUUCCUGCUCCACUGUGGCCAGCAGGUAUGACGUAGGAUAAAGAUUUUAAUAACUUUUCAUCUUCAAGGUCAGAGGAUGCUACUGAGUGACUUUGAAGUCGGUGGCGUUACAUCUGUAGGAGGAGAUAAUUUAAGUACGAAGAUUGUCAAUAUUUCAACAUGACGGCCAAAAUCAAAAUGGCAGACUAAGUAUUGAUGCUGAGAUGUGUUCGGGGAGACACCCUCUACACUUACGAGCAGUUUGGUGUGGAUAGGAAAUUGUAUGUUGAAGUUAUAAAGCCUCGAUGCUUGACCGCGAGGGAAAAAAAUGGUUUCCACUGCCCCGCCCACUAAAGUAUGUCGCAGCUGAAAGAUUUUAAUAACUUUUGUUCUUCAAGACAUGAAGAAAAUUACUGAGUUAAUUUUAAGACUGUGGUGUUUAAGCUCUAGGACAAGAU